rnacentral:rRNA from 1 species
GGGUGCGAUCAUACUAGCACUAAUGCACCGGAUCCCAUCAGAACUACGAAGUUUAACAAGCUUGGGCGAGAGUAGUACUAAGAUGGGUGACCUCUUGGGAAGUCCUCGUGUUGCAUCCC